CUGGGCAGGAACAACAGCCUCCACGACAUGAAGACGGUGGUGAAGACCUGGAGGAACCGGCUGCCCAUCGUGUCUGACGACUUGUCGCACUGGAGCAGCGUCUUUAUGUGGCGGCAGCACCAUUACCAGGGUAAACCGACCUGGUCCGGCAUGCACUCAUCAUGUAAUUUCCCAGGCGCCCGCCCUGCUGGUCUCGUGUCGUCAUUUUGUUUUUUGUUUUUUCCCAGAUUUUGAGGUAAUGGUGGUAAUGGCGAGGGCAGAGUUGAAACCUGGGAAGGUUUUGUGCUCUGCAUCCCAGCCACUUGGUAAAUUUUCUAGUUAGCCAGGAAUUCCUGCUGCACCUCGGCGGUGCAGGCCGGGGCCAUUGAGCCAUGGCGCUUUGUCUCAAAGCCUCUGCAGAGGAAGCCCCUGUUACCAGGC
rnacentral:lncRNA from 1 species